UAAGGAAUAUUGGUCAAUGGGCGAAAGCCUGAUCCAGCAAUGCCGCGUGUGUGAAGAAGGCCUUCGGGUUGUAAAGCACUUUUGUCCGGAAAGAAAUCCUCUGGGUUAAUACCUCGGGGGGAUGACGGUACCGGAAGAAUAAGCACCGGCUAACUACGUGCCAGCAGCCGCGGUAAUACGUAGGGUGCAAGCGUUAAUCGGAAUUACUGGGCGUAAAGCGUGCGCAGGCGGUUUUGUAAGACGGAUGUGAAAUCCCCGGGCUUAACCUGGGAACUGCAUUCGUGACUGCAAGGCUAGAGUAUGGCAGAGGGGGGUAGAAUUCCACGUGUAGCAGUGAAAUGCGUAGAGAUGUGGAGGAAUACCGAUGGCGAAGGCAGCCCCCUGGGCCAAUACUGACGCUCAUGCACGAAAGCGUGGGGAGCAAACA
rnacentral:rRNA from 1 species